rnacentral:rRNA from 1 species
GACAGAGGUGCCAAGCGUUAGGCGGAAUCACUGGGCUUAAAGCGUGUGUAGGCGGGUCGUUAAGUACCUUGUGAAAUCCCACGGCUCAACCGUGGAACUGCUGGGUAUACUGCCUGUCUUGAGCCAGCUAGGGGCGAGCGGAACAGACGGUGGAGCGGUGAAAUGCGUAGAUAUCGUCUGGAACGCCGAAGGUGAAAACAGCUCGCUGGGGCUGUGCUGACGCUGAGACACGAAAGCCAGGGGAGCGAACGGG